UACGUAGGGUGCAAGCGUUGUCCGGAAUUAUUGGGCGUAAAGAGCUCGUAGGCGGUUUGUCGCGUCGGCUGUGAAAACCUGGGGCUCAACCCCGGGCCUGCAGCCGAUACGGGCAAACUAGAAUUCGGUAGGGGAGACUGGAAUUCCGGUGUGAGCGAUGAAAUGCGCAGAUAUCAGGAGGAACACCGGUGGCGAAGGCGGGUCUCUGGGCCGAUAUUGACGCUGAGGAGCGAAAGCGUGGGGAGCGAACAGG
rnacentral:rRNA from 1 species